rnacentral:rRNA from 1 species
UACGUAGGGACCAAGCGUUGUUCGGAUUUACUGGGCGUAAAGGGCGCGUAGGCGGCAAUUCAAGUCACUUGUGAAAUCUCCGAGCUUAACUCGGAACGGUCAAGUGAUACUGCUUUGCUAGAGUGCAGAAGGGGCAACCGGAAUUCUUGGUGUAGCGGUGAAAUGCGUAGAUAUCAAGAGGAACACCGGAGGUGAAGACGGGUUGCUGGGCUGACACUGACGCUGAGGCGCGAAAGCUAGGGUAGCAAACGGG